rnacentral:rRNA from 1 species
UUUUAUGAGAGUUUGAUCCUGGCUCAGGACGAACGCUGGCGGCGUGCCUAAUACAUGCAAGUCGUACGCUUCUUUUUCCACCGGAGCUUGCUCCACCGGAAAAAGAGGAGUGGCGAACGGGUGAGUAACACGUGGGUAACCUGCCCAUCAGAAGGGGAUAACACUUGGAAACAGGUGCUAAUACCGUAUAACAAUCGAAACCGCAUGGUUUUGAUUUGAAAGGCGCUUUCGGGUGUCGCUGAUGGAUGGACCCGCGGUGCAUUAGCUAGUUGGUGAGGUAACGGCUCACCAAGGCCACGAUGCAUAGCCGACCUGAGAGGGUGAUCGGCCACAUUGGGACUGAGACACGGCCCAAACUCCUACGGGAGGCAGCAGUAGGGAAUCUUCGGCAAUGGACGAAAGUCUGACCGAGCAACGCCGCGUGAGUGAAGAAGGUUUUCGGAUCGUAAAACUCUGUUGUUAGAGAAGAA